rnacentral:tRNA from 1 species
CAGGGGGUAUUUUAUUGAAAAUGUUAAUUUUGGGGAUUAAUGAAAUGGUGUUAUUGUUUUGCCUUUCCUCUGA